GUGCCAGCAGCCGCGGUAAUACGGAGAGUGCAAGCAUUAAUCGGAAUUAUUGGGCGUAAAGGGCGCGUAGGCGGGAGAAUAAGUCAGAUGUGAAAUUCCAAAGCUCAACUUUGGAGCUGCAUUUGAAACUAUAAUUCUAGAGGAUUGACGGGGAAAACGGAAUUCCACGUGUAGCGGUGAAAUGCGUAGAUAUGUGGAAGAACACCUGUGGCGAAAGCGGUUUUCUAGUUAAUACCUGACGCUGAGGCGCGAGAGCAAGGGGAGCAAACAGGAUUAGAAACCCUCGUAGUCC
rnacentral:rRNA from 1 species